UGGCGGACGGGUGAGUAACGCGUGGGUAACCUGCCCUGUACAGGGGGAUAACAGUCAGAAAUGACUGCUAAUACCGCAUAAGACCACAGCACCGCAUGGUGCAGGGGUAAAAACUCCGGUGGUACAGGAUGGACCCGCGUCUGAUUAGCUGGUUGGUGAGGUAACGGCUCACCAAGGCGACGAUCAGUAGCCGGCUUGAGAGAGUGAACGGCCACAUUGGGACUGAGACACGGCCCAAACUCCUACGGGAGGCAGCAUG
rnacentral:rRNA from 1 species